AACCGGUCUCUCCAUUUCAGAGACCGGUCCCAGAACACAUGAAAGUUCAGAAAAGUUAUUUUAAAGCAAUCUAAGCCUUCUGAACUUAUUCUAAUUAUGUAUCUUCACCACAAAUGAUCUUUUCUUCAUACCUUAGGUGUCGAUCUUUCCGAAUGAGUCUUCGUCCUUCAAUUUGAAUCUCUUCUCAAAAACUUCUGCGAUCAACUCUUCAAGACUCCAAACAACUUUACGAAAUUCGCCAACCUAUAAAAUCCUUAACAGUAAGCUGAAAUUUCUGUGAGGAAACUGAAUUUGUAAAAUUCCGACUAUAUUUAUUAGUAAUUGACGAUCUGGAUGCCGUUUUGAUGUUGUUUGCAGCAAGAGUGCG
rnacentral:lncRNA from 1 species